rnacentral:tRNA from 1 species
GUGUCUGUAGCUCAGCGGAUAGAGUGUUUAUUUCCUAACCAAAAAGUUCGUGGGUUCGACCCCUAGCUGAUGCA